AGUGAACGCUGGCGGUAGGCCUAACACAUGCAAGUCGAACGGCAGCACAGUAAGAGCUUGCUCUUACGGGUGGCGAGUGGCGGACGGGUGAGGAAUACAUCGGAAUCUACUUUUUCGUGGGGGAUAACGUAGGGAAACUUACGCUAAUACCGCAUACGACCUACGGGUGAAAGCAGGGGAUCUUCGGACCUUGCGCGAUUGAAUGAGCCGAUGUCGGAUUAGCUAGUUGGCGGGGUAAAGGCCCACCAAGGCGACGAUCCGUAGCUGGUCUGAGAGGAUGAUCAGCCACACUGGAACUGAGACACGGUCCAGAAUCCUACGGGAGGCAGCAGUGGGGAAUAUUGGACAAUGGGCGCAAGCAUGAUCCAGCCAUACAGCGUGGGUGAAGAAGGCCUUCGGGUUGUAAAGCCCUUUUGUUGGGAAAGAAAAGCAGCAGGUUAAUACCACGCUGUUCUGACGGUACCCAAAGAAUAAGCACCGGCUAACUUCGU
rnacentral:rRNA from 1 species